GAUGAACGCUGGCGGCGUGCCUAAUACAUGCAAGUCGAGCGAACAGACGAGGAGCUUGCUCCUCUGACGUUAGCGGCGGACGGGUGAGUAACACGUGGAUAACCUACCUAUAAGACUGGGAUAACUUCGGGAAACCGGAGCUAAUACCGGAUAAUAUAUUGAACCGCAUGGUUCAAUAGUGAAAGACGGUUUUGCUGUCACUUAUAGAUGGAUCCGCGCCGCAUUAGCUAGUUGGUAAGGUAACGGCUUACCAAGGCAACGAUGCGUAGCCGACCUGAAAGGUGGUCAGCCCACACAGGAACAAGGCCAGGAUCCUGCCUCCUACGGGUGGAGCAGUCAGGAAGUCUGCGACAGUGGGCGAAAGCCGGAUGAAGCAACGCGGUGGGGGUGAGUAAGGUUUUCGUAUCUUAAAGCACUGUUUUGAGGAAAAAAAAAUUGUGGAAAGAUGGAUGAAGUUCUUAGGGUACCGAAUUAGAAGGGCCAGCACUAUCACCCCG
rnacentral:rRNA from 1 species